GGGGCAUUAGCUCAGUUGGCUAGAGCGCUUGCAUGGCAUGCAAGAGGUCAAGGGUUCAACUCCCUUAUGCUCCACCA
rnacentral:tRNA from 2 species